rnacentral:misc_RNA from 1 species
CACUUCCAAGCGUGCAAACCACCUACAUUUAAAACACCAACAAACAGAUAAAAUGAUUGACAGGUAGUGACACAAUCUCAGCAUCUAUGUAUCUUAAACUUCCUAUAAUACCCUCUCCAUUCAGAACAAACACAAUUGCAUAUACGUAGAAAAAUUAAUAUACAGGGAUAGGGGAGGAAAUUAAGCAGCAAUCAUCAAUGCCCAAAACUUUUAAAAUGAAUGCCAACAUAAAAAGGCUUACAAAGCACAAAUGCUUUUCUCAUCAAGGGGCUCAUGCGUCACGCCACAUUCAAGCAAAGCAAUAUUUGCACUUGCAUGAGCUCAAAGCCCACGUUGUUAAUUUUGGUUACCAUAAGCCCAAGCAAUUGAGCAUGACAUGUUGGCUAAUUAUUGAUUGCAUUUCAUUAUAAAUGCAUAAUUUUAAAAUAAUUAAGUUUCAAAUGGUGGAAAAGAAAAGAAUGUCUCAGAUUCGAACAAAAUUUGAGGCAGCAUGAGCUAUCAUACCAGAUAGCAGCUCAAGCCCAAGAGAUGGAGAAAAGGUGGGGUAGGGACCAAAUUCAAGCUCAAAUUCAUUCUACUCAAGAACAAAUCAAGCUCUCAAACAAGCUGAGCCCGAUCAGUCUAAGCUCCUUCUAUCCCUAUUUAUGCCACUGUCUAUCAGCUGUAUAAUACAGCCACAAUCACAUUUUUGGAAUCGGAAACAUAUGCAUUUAUUUGUUUGUUUCAGCAUGUUAGGAAGUAAAUAUUUCACUCAACCAUGAUUUUUUUAUCAUUUCUUCUUCAGGUUGCAGAUGAAAAAGAAUGCACAAAAGCAAAACACAAUUGAGUAUGGGAAAUUCUUUGGAAAGUUUAUAAAAUGCUUCAUUGUGAAUCGCUCUGCUGAUCCAUUUUCAAAAUGAUAAAAGACACAGGCUUUCUCAUUUCUUUCAACCAACGUGACAAUCUCAUAAUGGGACUCUUUUAUGAUGUUAAACAUUAAAUUAUACCAGCACAUCCUUACAAUUACAAGCACCUUGAUACUAAAAUACAAGAAGGCAGUCAAAUUUGGCCAAAAGAAACAGAAGAAGCUUCUCUAACAAGAAAUUACCAACCAUGGAAUUUGGCAACACAUAACAAUAGAAUAAACUGGAGGACAAACAAUCCAUAUUUCAUGGUUUUCUAGUGCAUUUCACAUGCUUACCACACCCAAAGACGCCUGAUGUCUCAGCUAUUGAGCUCAGGAACCCCAACAACAAGGGUAGGCCAAGAAAAAAUGAAGUCGUCGAAACUGAAAACACUAAAUCACAACAAACAGAAAUUUGGCAAACAUAAUAGAAAUCAUCCUAGUCUUAUUUCAAGCUUAAAAAGAUUAAAACAGACAUGAAAUAUAUCACCUGGACAGCAAUACUGCUUUUAUCUAUUUGUUUUAGGGAUAUUUAUAAAUGAAGCGUAACUUUAACUUAAAAUGUAGAUUGUGCCAAAAAUCAAUCCAUGUUUAGAUCUAAUGCCAUAGAGUGAAACUAACUACUACCCAGUUCUAACAAUGAUAUGCAUAGGCACACUACUACAGCCCCAUGAUAAAGAUAAAUGGACAUCUGGCAAUUCAACUGUGUUCCAUUUUGCUGGAUUUGGGAAUACACCAAUCUAACACAUGUACAGCUGUACACACAUCGUUGCACAGCAUAAAUUCCAGAAUAGCAUAACAAAUGGUUGAUUCUACUAUUCACAACCAUAAAGUGCAAACUUAUUAACUAUUAUCCAAACAGUGUUUGUAAUAAGGGAACAAUAUCAUGAGACAUUCUUGCUGAACAUGCUGUUCAUUAUUUCAGGGUGUUCUUGUGACACAGCUUGCCCCAUUGUUAUACAUGGGUUAUCCCUUUUGUGGUGGCAACUGGCAAGCAGGUCCCGUGGCAGGGUGACAAAGAUACUUAAAGCAGAAUUGUGGGUUCAAAUGCUGCUAUGACCACCCUUAAUCUAAUCUGCCACUUAUGACUGUUGAGCUAAAUGAUUGUUAGUAUUUUCCUGCCAGCCUUGUCAUCUGUCUGUACCAUUCCCACCAAACUAGUCAAUUAUACCACAGAAGUCUUCUGUAUCUUCCUCUCAUAUUCAACAUACCCUGGAAACUUCAACUCAAAGCUAUGCCUCUCCAUUCCAACUUGGAUUUAACGUUUUCUUUGGUUUUACUCUUGCGUUUAGCUUCAUAAAACUGGAGCUAAUAGCCCAAUACCCAUUGAAGGCCGCAUUGUAAGUUGAAAGAAAAUAGAACUAUAGAAAGGCUAGUUUUACUCUGCAAUUAUAUAUUGGCAGUUCUGAUGUUUGAGAAUAGCAAAAGCUGAAGACAUUUCAGAAUGGUAAUAUCAAUUGCCAAAGGACCACUAACGUUUUCACUACUAACUGUAACGGAUCAAGAAUCAUCACAGUUCCUAUUAGUGUAGGAACAAGCAAAAUCUAAAAAUCAAACAAAUAACUGAUCCCAUGUACAUAAUUACCAGAUGAAAACGAAUUCAUCCCUAAAAUUAUCACUGUAAACAGCCAGCAAUCAAAAACUAGCAGAAAUGCAAAGUUGAAGAUAUAAGGUAGAGUAUAUUACCUCAAGAAAAGCCUUCAAAACCCACAAAAGUGCGAGCAUUAGGACCCCAUUUACGGAA